rnacentral:lncRNA from 1 species
AGUCACUUAGCCCUGUUUGCCUCACUUCCUCAUCUGUAUAAUGAACUGGAGAAAGAAAUGGCAAACCAUUCCAGUGUCUUUGCCAAGAAGACCCCAAAUGGGGUCACCGAGAGUCAGACAAGUGAAAAAUGACUAGACAGCAGCAACAACAAAUAUUUAAUGAAUGUUUGUUGAUCAGUGCCAUUAUGAGGUUAGUGGAGGAGGUUGACCCUCAACCCAAAAAAUUCUGGGUCACAGACAGUGGUGUCACAAAAGGAAUUAGGACAUUCUUCGGUGCAGCUUCAGGCCAGUUUUUGCUUGGCCUCCUUUUCAUCACCUUGGCACCAGAGCCAUAUCGUUCGACAAACCAAACUGUGACAGGUAAGUUCUGCAACCAAUUCUUUCACUUUUUAGGGGGGUAACAGCUCCCACGUCCAUGGAGAGCAAGAGACACUGACCCCCAUCCUGUGGUCUUAUACUUCAAAGCUGGACACAUGAGCCUUGGCUAAAAGUUCUACCUUUAUAGCUCUAGGACAAUUAAGUGGAAUCUACACUUGGGGGGGUUUAGGUCACCUCUAAUCAUAGUUUUGAAGUCACUAGGCUUUGGAUUGACUUAAGACCUGAACGCUUUUAAACAAAAGAUUUAUUCUUAGAAUCCCAGCUGUCUUAGAAUCUAGAAGCCCUAGAUUUAUACUUCUAGUUCAAAGCUAGUAAGUACUAGGGCCUAGCACUACAAUAGGACACCUCAAUGCCUUUGAGCCUUGGAAGCCACUUGCCCCCAGCAGUAAGUGAAAGACCUCAAGAGUGAGUGCUCCUCGUAUCACAUCAGUCCUUUUGUCCCUCUGUAGUUAAGUAUCCCCACUCACCAUAGAGGAUUUUCACCACCUUGAGCUCCCUGCCUCCUCUUGCAUCACUAAGCUAUCUGUAGCCAGUGCCUCCACCCCCAAUUUGUUUCUGACCUCUCCUUUGCUGUGUGUCCCACAGGGCUCACUCCUCAGCUUCCAUGGACUAGAUUACCUCUAUGCUAAUGGUUCUCCAGUCCUUUAGCCCUAACCUCCAGUCUCACAUUUCUCUGAUUGCUGGGGAGGGUACCUCAAUUCCCUCAAAAGAGAAGGGCUUCCAGCUGUUUCCAUCAGCCCUCCCACCCCAUUCUUCUGCCUUAGGGGCAAAUGCUUACUCCCCCUCCUGAGCCUAGUCUCCUGGGCACCCUUUUCUGUCUCUAGCCGCACUUUCUCUCUCAUUCCUCAGACUCACUGGUUAGAGGUGAGGAGUUUGAAUACUCCCUGGUUCCUGUUGCCAUCGUCAUUGCCCGAUCUUUCAUCCAGACCUAGGAGUUGCUGUCUGCUGCCCUCCAGAAUCCUCCCCUUCCUUCUGUGGUGUGUAGCUCCCAGUCUAUGAGACUUCAACCUCCAAUAGAUACUC